rnacentral:rRNA from 1 species
CCUACGGGAGGCUGCAGUGGGGAAUAUUGGACAAUGGGGGGAACCCUGAUCCAGCCAUGCCGCGUGUGUGAAGAAUGCCCUCGGGUUGUAAAGCACUUUCAGUGAGGAAGAACGCCUGGUGGUUAAUACCCAUCAGGAAAGACAUCACUCACAGAAGAAGCACCGGCUAACUCCGUGCCAGCAGCCGCGGUAAUACGGAGGGUGCGAGCGUUAAUCGGAAUUACUGGGCGUAAAGCGCGCGUAGGUGGCUUGAUAAGCCGGUUGUGAAAGCCCCGGGCGCAACCUGGGAACGGCAUCCGGAACUGGCAAGCUAGAGUGCAGGAGAGGAAGGUAGAAGUCCCGGUGUAGCGGUGAAAUGCGUAGAGAUCGGGAGGAAUACCAGUGGCGAAGGCGGCCUUCUGGACUGACACUGACACUGAGGUGCGAAAGCGUGGGUAGCAAACAGGAUUAGAUACCCCAGUAGUC